rnacentral:rRNA from 1 species
UACGUAGGGGGCGAGCGUUGUCCGGAAUUACUGGGCGUAAAGGGUGCGUAGGCGGCGAUGCAAGUCCAUUGUGAAAAGCCCGGGCUUAACCUGGGAGGUGCAGUGGAAACUGUAUGGCUUGAGUGCAGGAGAGGGAAGUGGAAUUCCUAGUGUAGCGGUGAAAUGCGUAGAUAUUAGGAGGAACACCAGUGGCGAAGGCGACUUUCUGGACUGUAACUGACGCUGAGGCACGAAAGCGUGGGGAGCAAACAGGAUUAGAUACCCCCCGUAGUCCCU